rnacentral:lncRNA from 15 species
UUGAGGGUAUGUGGUCUACCCCUUUUGCAUUUUUCUUCCAAAGGGCUUAAAGUGAAAAUUCUUCUCUCAACAGGCAGAACCUGAGAGGUCAGCUAGUGAGACACCUGUGCUGAACAGGUAUGUAAGCAUUAGUUGUUCCUGCAAAGAAAUAUUCCAAAAAUGAUAAACCAUACAACUGAAUUACGUGUGUGUGUGUGUGUGUGUGUGUGUGUGUGUGUGUGUGUGUGUGUGUGUGUGUGUGUGUGUGUGUGUGUGUGUGUGUGUGUGUGUGUGUGUGUGUGUGUGUGUGUGUGUGUGUGUGUGUGUGUGUGUGUGUGUCUCUUGUAAGGAAAGAGUUUUGCCCAGAGGCCAGCACAGAACGCCGUCCGGAUGAAGACCAUCAGCUGGAAAGACCGACCCAGCCUCAUGCGGGGAGCACCACAGAGGAGUCGACACUCGACCUGGACGCCAUCCUGAGACUGUUCAGACAGGAGAACAUAAAUGGAGAUGUAGAAACCGACAUCCACGUCAGGAGGAGAGACGUGCUCCACAGCGCUCUGAAGGCGGUGAGGAGGCCGGACUUCUGUUUCAGGACGACGCCCAUCGUCACCUUCAGUGGAGAGGAGACUGAUGGACACGAGGGACCUCUCAGAGAGUUCUUCAGGUUAUUAUUAUUUUCCUCAUGUUUUUCCUGAAGCACAUGUUGGUGAU